UGCCAGCCGCCGCGGUAAUACGGAGGGUGCGAACGUUGCUCGGAAUCAUUGGGCGUAAAGCACACGUAGGCGGCCGUACAAGUUGGAUGUGAAAGCCCUGGGCUCAACCCAGGAAGUGCAUCCAAAACUGUAUGGCUCGAGUACCGAAGGGGGUCAGAGAAUUCCCGGUGUAGAGGUGAAAUUCGUAGAUAUCGGGAGGAAUACCAGUGGCGAAGGCGCUGGCCUGGUCGGAUACUGACGCUGAGGUGUGAUAGCGUGGGGAGCAAACAGGAUUAGAUA
rnacentral:rRNA from 1 species